CAAUGAGAGGUGCUACAAAGAGGAAAUAUCUCAUUUUAAAAAAAGAAAGUUCUAUUAUCCUUUCCCCAGACUCUUUAAAUGAUAGCUUCCCAUAACCCAUUUAUUCCCUUUAUCUUGCUGCAAAUCGAGACUCAUACCUCUCUGCUUGUCUAGGCGUUAGUUGCAUUUUCCACAUAUUUAAUGUUGUUUGACGCAAAUUAGAGUCACAGCCCUCUAAUCCGGGCCAGGUAGCCAACUUCUACAGAUCGAAGCCUUUUUUCCCCCCCUAUAACAGUUCAGCAAUUACCAGCACUUGGUAGGAGAUCUGUGCUCCUGUGAAAUCAGAAAAAUUGAAUUCCAGUGGACUGCAAGCUUUUUGGAAAGAAGGAGAAAGAGGCAAUGAAAAGUGAUUCAGAGAGCACAACAGAAAAUCAGUUUUUAAUCAAGAAAAAACAAUCUACGGAAACAGAGAUGUGUUCAACUACCUAAAAGAAAUUUCAGCAGCCAUUCAACCAUGAUUCGCCAAUUUGCAGAUACCCUAACUUGCAGUCGGGGCGAUUCAUCUUCCGAACACAUCUGGAACUGGAAGCCCCGGCAGAGCCGAUCAGAUUCCGUUCAUCUCUGCUUGCUACUGUCACACUCCCAAGGCCAAGAGUGGCCUGAUAAACACUGUGAAACCCUCUUAACUC